UACUUUUAUCAUAUCACCCUGAAAUUCACAACUGACAACCCACUGAAGCUCAGCAGGUGUGAGCCUGGUCAGUACCUGGAUGGGAGACCUCCUGGGAAUAACUGCUGGAAGAGGUGU
rnacentral:rRNA from 1 species